rnacentral:rRNA from 1 species
CCUACGGGUGGCAGCAGUGAGGAAUAUUGGUCAAUGGGCGGGAGCCUGAACCAGCCAAGUCGCGUGAAGGAAGAAGGUACUUAGUAUUGUAAACUUCUUUUGUCGGGGAACAAAGGCGGAGACGCGUCUCCGGAUGUGUGUGUCCGAUGAAAAAGCAUCGGCUAACUCGGUGCCAGCAGCCGCGGUAAUAGGGAGGAUGCGAGCGUUAUCCGGGUUUAUUGGGUUUAAAGGGUGCGCGGGCGGGAGAUAAAGUCAGCGGUAAAAUGUCGGGGCUCACCCCCGAACGGUCGUUGAAACUGGUUUUCGAGAGUUGGAUAGAGGUAUGCGGAAUUCGUGGUGUAGCGGUGAAAUGCAUAGAUAUCACGAAGAACUCCGAUUGCGAAGGCAGGUUACCGGCUCGAUACUGACGCUGAGGCACGAAAGCGUGGGGAUCGAACAGGAUUAGAUACCCUAGUAGUC